AAGGAGUCUGUGCACGGGGAUGCUGCAGCACAAAGAUGAAAAGCCUGCACAAGGAAAACCUACAUUUGAAAAUGCUUUCCAAAUCUGUGGCCCGAGAGUUCUGGUCAUUUGAUUGUACACUUCAUAGCUCAUUCAUGGGUGGGGUGCUUAGUAAUGAGAAGUUCCUGUCUUUGGUUAGUGUAUAUCAUUCAUGUCUUCUUUUGGCUCAUGUAGGUAGUUAUUGAUGUACUUUCGUGGAACUAGUCAGGUGCAAGAAAAUUAUUGUUGUUUAAUUCUUCUCUCAUAGAAUACAUCCCAACUGCAGUUUUCCCUGCCUCCAUUCCUCCCAGUCCUCUCCC
rnacentral:lncRNA from 1 species